UUUCCGUAGGUGAACCUGCGGAAGGACCAUUCAUAAUAAAGUGUUUUAUGGCACUUUUUAAAAAUCCAUAUCCACCUUGUGUGCAAUGUUAGAUCUCGUCAAUCUUGGCGAGAUUUUUAUACAUCAACUCAUUCUUUAACUAAUUUGUCUGAAAAAUAUUAUGAAUACUUAAUUCAAAAUACAACUUUCAACAACGGAUCUCUUGGCUCUC
rnacentral:misc_RNA from 1 species